GAUGAACGCUAGCUACAGGCUUAACACAUGCAAGUCGAGGGGUAACGAGAGGAAAGCUUGCUUUCCUUGUCGACGACCGGCGCACGGGUGAGUAACGCGUAUCCAACCUGCCCCCAACUAAGGAAUAACCUUGCGAAAGUAAGACUAAUACCUUAUAAUUUCCUCAGAUGCCAUCUGACGAGGAAUAAAGAUUUAUCGGUUGUGGAUGGGGAUGCGUCUGAUUAGCUUGUUGGCGGGGUAACGGCCCACCAAGGCAACGAUCAGUAGGGGUUCUGAGAGGAAGGUUCCCCACAUUGGAACUGAGACACGGUCCAAACUCCUACGGGAGGCAGCAGUGAGGAAUAUUGGUCAAUGGGCGAAAGCCUGAACCAGCCAAGUAGCGUGCAGGAUGACGGCCCUAUGGGUUGUAAACUGCUUUUAUACAGGAAUAAAGUUAGCCACGUGUGGUUAUUUGUAGGUACUGUAUGAAUAAGGACCGGCUAAUUCCGUGCCAGCCGCCGCGGUAA
rnacentral:rRNA from 1 species